ACUCUUCGAAGAGAGAGCAGAAACCAUCUUACUCAUUCUCAAGCAGAGGUUCCCUGGAAUUCCUCAAUCUUCACUAGACAUUAGCAAAAUUCAAUACAACCGGGUAAGAACACAUUCCCUUUCACCUUCAGCUCUCUUUCGUGUUACAAUUUGAGCUUGAAUGAUCACCUUGAUCGGGAGAUAGAGAGAUGAAGCAAGACCAAAUAUGUAAUUGUGUAUGUUUCUGAUUGAAUUUUACCAUGACAUUGAUAUCUACUUUGCUAAUAAAUUCUAGUCAUGUUAACGAAACUGGAACUCAUAAUAUCUUCUUGGCUAACAGGAUAUAGGGCAGGCAAUUCUGGAAAGUUACUCAAGAAUUCUAG
rnacentral:misc_RNA from 1 species